AACGAACGCUGGCGGCAUGCCUAACACAUGCAAGUCGAACGAGACCUUCGGGUCUAGUGGCGCACGGGUGCGUAACGCGUGGGAACCUGCCCUUAGGUUCGGAAUAACUCCCCGAAAGGGGUGCUAAUACCGGAUAAUGUCUUCGGACCAAAGAUUUAUCGCCUUUGGAUGGGCCCGCGUUGGAUUAGCUAGUUGGUAGGGUAAAAGCCUACCAAGGCGACGAUCCAUAGCUGGUCUGAGAGGAUGAUCAGCCACACUGGGACUGAGACACGGCCCAGACUCCUCCGGGGGGCAGCAGGGGGGAAUUUUGGACAAGGGGCGAAAGCCUGAUCCAGCAAUGCCGGGGGAGGGAUGAAGGCCUUGGGGUUGUAAAGCUCUUUUACCCGGGAUGAUAAUGACAGUACCGGGAAAAGAAGCGCCGGCAAACUCCGU
rnacentral:rRNA from 1 species